UACGUAGGGGCAAGCGUUGUCCGGAAUCAUUGGGCGUAAAGAGCGUGUAGGCGGCCCGAUAAGUCCGCUGUGAAAGUCCAAGGGCUCAACCCUGGAAUGCCAGUGGAAACUGUCGGGCUGGAGUCCGGAAGAGGCGAGUGGAAUUCCUGGUGUAGCGGUGAAAUGCGCAGAUAUCAGGAGGAACACCAAUGCGAAGGCAGCUCGCUGGGACGUUACUGACGCUGAGACGCGAAAGCGUGGGGAGCAAACAGG
rnacentral:rRNA from 1 species